rnacentral:rRNA from 1 species
CAGUCGAACGGGAUUCGGGGUAGCAAUACUUUGAUGAGAGUGGCGCACGGGUGCGUAACGCGUAUGCAACCUACCUUUAACAGGGGAAUAGCCCCGAGAAAUCGGGAUUAAUACUCCGUAACAUUGCGGUGUGGCAUCACACUGCACUUAAAGCUGAGGCGGUUAAAGAUGGGCAUGCGUGACAUUAGCUAGUUGGUGAGGUAACGGCUCACCAAGGCAACGAUGUCUAGGGGUCCUGAGAGGGUUAUCCCCCACACUGGUACUGAGACACGGACCAGACUCAUACGGGAGGCAGCAGUAAGGAAUAUUGGUCAAUGGGCGCAAGCCUGAACCAGCCAUGCCGCGUGCAGGAAGACGGCCCUAUGGGUUGUAAACUGCUUUUGUCAGGGAAUAAACCCCCGCUCGUGAGCGGGGCUGAAGGUACCUGAAGAAUAAGCAUCGGCUAACUCCGUGCCAGCAGCCGCGGUAAUACGGAGGAUGCAAGCGUUAUCCGGAUUCAUUGGGUUUAAAGGGUGCGCAGGCGGAUUGGUAAGUCAGGGGUGAAAUCCCACAGCUCAACUGUGGAACUGCCUUUGAUACUGUCAGUCUAGAGUAUAGAUGAAGUUGGCGGAAUGUGUCAUGUAGCGGUGAAAUGCUUAGAUAUGACACAGAACACCGAUCGCGAAGGCAGCUAGCUAAGCUAUAACUG